UACGGAGGGUGCAAGCGUUAUCCGGAUUUACUGGGUUUAAAGGGUGCGCAGGCGGUCAGCACAAGUCAGUUGUGAAAUCUCCGGGCUUAACUCGGAAAGGUCAACUGAUACUGUGCGACUAGAGUGCAGAAGGGGCAACUGGAAUUCUCGGUGUAGCGGUGAAAUGCGUAGAUAUCGAGAGGAACACCUGCGGCGAAGGCGGGUCUCUGGACAGUUCCUGACGCUGAGGCACGAAGGUCAGGGGGAGCAAACGGG
rnacentral:rRNA from 1 species